AUGGAGGAAGGGCGAGACGAGAAAGAGGCCACGUCUGAGAAUUCAGAAGACCGGGGCAACACUAGUGACAGCAGCAGAUGCGACGGCAGCGGCCUGAUGUCCGUCCAAUUCAUGCAGAAGAUUCUUGCCGAAAUUCUGGGCACCUACUUCAUGAUCUUGGCGGGGUGCGGCGCCGUGGUGGUGAACCAGAGCACGGGCGGCGCGGUGACGUUCCCGGGGAUCUGCGUCGUGUGGGGGCUCGUCGUCAUGGUCAUGGUCUACUCCGUCGGCCACGUCUCCGGGGCGCACUUCAACCCCGCCGUCACCAUCGCCUUCGCCACCUGCCGCCGCUUCCCGUGGAAGCAGGUGCCGUCCUACGUGCUGGCUCAGGUGCUGGGAUCCACGCUGGCGAGCCUGACGCUGCGACUGACGUUCGGCGGCGCGCACGGGCACUCGUUCGGGACGAUGCCGUCCGGUUCGAGCACGCAGGCGGUGGCGCUCGAGUUCAUCAUCUCCUUCUACCUCAUGUUCGUCGUCUCGGGCGUGGGCACGGACGACAGAGCAGUUGGUGAGUUGGCUGGUCUCGCAGUUGGUGCCACCGUCGUGCUGAACGUGCUCUUUGCCGGGCCGAUCACGGGGGCGUCGAUGAACUCUGCGAGGAGCCUAGGGCCGGCGAUCGUCGCCUGCCGGUACGGCGGUGUGUGGGUGUACGUCGUCGGCCCGGUGUGCGGGACGGUGGCGGCAGCCUGGACCUACAACCUCAUACGGCUCCCGGACAAGCCGAUCGCCAGGAGCGGGUCGACUGCGUCGUUUCUCAGACCGCUGUAA
rnacentral:rRNA from 1 species